rfam:Erwinia mallotivora strain BT-MARDI contig_43, whole genome shotgun sequence.
UAAGGUCUGAUUCAAUGAUUCGUACCACCUACCUCCUCGGUCUACUACUACUAAACGCCUCUUUUGUGCGCGGUAGACUUGUGGGCGGAGUGAAUCACUGAUUCAGGCUUGCAAAGCAAAAAAACCCGCGCCAGUCGCGGGUUUUUUU